ACUCCAGUCAUGGUCGAGCCCACAAACGGUCUAUUUGCUGCCCGACGGCAUGUUUGUUCAUUACGGUUCUCGAUCGGUGCUUACCUUGCCCACAAAGAUAAGACAUUUCCGUUCAGCAGGAGACAGAGGCCAAGAAAUAACAUGCAUACUUGAUGUAGUAUUUGUCAGUACAAAGUAGGGAAUUGAUUUGGACAAAGCCCUAAGCCCGACAAUAUGUGGGCCUUGUGAGAUGGAGGAGGAGCCGUUCCUCGACGACGACAAGCUCUGGAUCGUCAAGCUGACCAGGAAGACGCUGCUGGCUUCUCCUUGAAGCAAAUCGACGCAGGAACUCUUGCGGGCUCGAUCGAUCUCCAAGCACAGAGUUCAGUUUUAGGAUUUAUGGACUAUGUUGUCUAGUCUGUUAGGAUUGUGUGAUUAUCGUUGCAAGUUAAUUGCGGGUAAUAUAUAUCCUCGACAUAGAUCUGUGUUGAUUAAUUCCUGUAUGCUUUUGAGACCAUCCUUGCUAGCCCCUGUUUAAUUUGAGGAUUUUUAUGCUCUAAAAUUAA